GACGAACGCUGGCGGCGUGCUUAACACAUGCAAGUCGAACGAAGUGGCGAACGGGUGAGUAACGCGUAAUCAACCUGCCCUUCAGAGGGGGACAACAGUUGGAAACGACUGCUAAUACCGCAUACGGACGGCGGGGAUUGCGUCUGAUUAGCUAGUUGGAGGGGUAACGGCCCACCAAGGCGAUGAUCAGUAGCCGGUCCUGAAGGAUGAGCGGCCACAUUGGGACUGGGGAACGGCCCCGACUCCUACGGGAGGCAGCAGGGGGGAAUCUGUCGCAAUGGACGAAAGGCUGACGGAGGAACGCCGCGGGAGUGAUGACGGCCUUCGGGUUGUAAAGCUCUGUUAAGCGGGACGCGGUACCGGAAUAGAAAGCCACGGCUAACUACGUGCCAGCCGCCGCGGUAAUAC
rnacentral:rRNA from 1 species